UUCUCCUAUAUUGCAGCAUGGGUCUCGACCUUUUGAAGGGAACAAUCCGGAACAAUCUUGAAGCUGGAGUUAUUGAACCGGCAAUGAGUAAAGUGAAGAUCAUUCAGUUUGCUACCGAGGCAGCCAUAACGAUUCUGAGGAUUGACGAUAUGAUUAAGCUUGCCAAGGAAGAUGAGAACGGGGAGGAUUAGAGGUUCGUGCUGAACUUAAAUUAAAAGUUUUGUGGUUCUAGAUAGCACUUUUGUAAUUCCCUCGUGUGCAUGAACUGGUUCUAAUUGUUCUGUUGCGGUAGAACCUUUCUGAGUCCGUCUAAUUUCCCAAGAUUUUAUAGUGCCUGAUUUGGAAUUUCUAUUAUUUAGCUAUUGUUCUGUAGGAGUUCUUUAAUCCACUUGAGCCAUUUUUGCUUGAAAAAUGGCUCCUCCAUCUUGAGUUCUGUGUUGCUAUAAAGAUAAAAGAAUCAAAGAUAUUUUUGCUUGAAAA